rnacentral:lncRNA from 1 species
CAGCCUCCUCCAAGAAGGGCUAAGAAAGUUCGUAUCAUGAUCUGAAGUAAUUAUCAUUGAAAGUCUUUGAAGUUUAACUUCUUUAAAAUAAAGAUUAGGAGUAUAUGAGGCAUCCAUAGUCUUUUUGCAAGGAAUAAAAUGUGCAAUCUUUGAAAAAUCGGUCAACCACAACGAAAAUAAAAUUAGUACUUGCGUCUUCGGCAAUCCAACAACAAAAUCCAUGCUAACUCUUCCCAAGGAGCAUCCAAAAUAGGCAAUGGAAUAUAAGCACCAGAAUUUUGACUUUUGCCCUUGCAAGUUUGAUAUAAAUGGCACCUCCUCAAAAACUUUGCAACAUCAUGAUAAGGAGUAGGCCAAAAAUAUUUUUCCUUAAUCAGCAACAAAGUUUCAUCUCUCACAAAAUGUCCACUAAGUCCCCACAAUGAAGUUCUUUGAUGAUGUACUCUCUAAGAGAACAUUUAUGAAUGCAUAGUUAGAAAACAAAUCAUGUAAAUAAUAAUCUUCAUAUUUAACUUUUUUACAUUUUUGAUAAAUCUCCUUGAAAUCAAAAUCCUCUAGAUACAUCCUCGUAUGGCAUCAAGACAUUCCAACUAAAUAGUCAUAGAAUUCAACAAUGCAACUCUCAUACUAAGUGCAUAGGCCACUUUGUUAUGUCUUCCACUCUUAG